UACAAAGUGGCUAAAGAAGGUGUAGAAGUUUCCGGUGGUGUGGCCUUAGCAGAAACUCAGUCAACCAAUUCCAAUCUAAGGCAGGGCCACUAUCCACCCAAAAAGAGGAGUCAUUAUACACAUGGGCCAUAGGAUUGAUGAUCUAUCUGAAUUUCCUUCAACUAGCUUGGACUUGUUGUAUAUUUGGCAAGGGAUAUAUAAGUCAAAAAGAUUCAAUGGUGACUCAGACCAAUUAUCCUCCAAAUUAGGAUUGCAAAUUAAUCAAUUGUCACUAUGGUUAGUCAAGAUUGUGGGAUCAGAAGGAAAUGAUUAGGCUGGAAAAAGAUGAACCGAUUUUAAUACAUCCAUGCCGGAGUGGCCAGAAAGGAAAAGGGAAAAAAGUAAACAUAUCAUAACCAUCAUUACAUCAAAGAUUAUCAGUAAUCAGCCCACAUUAAAGAACUAAACUCCAAUCAUAUCUUUCUUUUUGCUUUCUUUUUGUUAAAUGUCCUCGGGCUUCCCCCCAUUUCCCUCUCUUUUCCUUCCUCUGUUUCUCAUUUGCUCGCACCACCCUACGCCCUAUGUCUACUUUCUCUCUCUCCACCCAAACAAAAAAGGAGCACUUGUACUUUCGAAAUGGAUAUUUUACAGGACAAGAAGUGUAAAGUCUUCAACUUUUCAACAAGGUAAUGAUGCCACUCCACAAUAUUUUCUCCAACUCUCUAUAUUUAAACCAGAAAGAAAGGAGGCAUCUCUGGUAACUAAGGAACUAUCAUCUAAAAGUGGGAAGAUGAGGAACAGCCUGCUCAUUAGAGGAAGAACAGGAGGAUUGACCCAUGAAUGGGUUAUACAGAGCUUAAUAUUCCUCAUUCUUGGUCAUUUUCUCUAUUCAGGACACACGAGAGAGCUAAACCAUGAGAAUCAGAAAUUCAGUUCCCGGCCAGUUUUCAUCUCUCAAAGGGAUAUCACCACCCCUAUAACAACCGUUCCCACAAUAAUUCUUUCCAACCCCACCGUCUCGACUCCAUUUAUCAAUCCAACUUCAACUUCAGACACGUAUUCUCCGGCCAUGGAGUCUCCCAAAAGAUCAUCUCCACCGUCGUCAGGAGCUAGUUGGUGCAUUGCUAGUCAAAGUGCAUCACAAAAGGUAUUACAAAUUGCUCUAGACUACGCAUGUGGCUAUGGUGGUACUGAUUGUUCAGCAAUUCAAGCUGGUCAGAGGUGUUACAACCCAAACACCAUUCAUGAUCAUGCCUCCUACGCCUUCAAUAGCUACUAUCAAAAGAAUCCUGUUCCAAAUAGCUGUAACUUUGGUGGGACUGCUGUCAUCACUAGCACUGACCCAAAGGUUAAGAGAAAGUGGAGAAGAUCAGGCAAACUUAUUAUAGAUUAUCUGGUAACGAGUCCAAAGAAUCAAAGAAUUCAAAUUGUUGCAAUGCUAACUGAGAGUUUCUUCUGAAGGUGCAGAAGCUUUGAAAAUAUUUAAAACAGCAGCCGUCGUGAACAAACUCUAUUCGUCCUCUUUCCCUUUCUUAAAACCUUCUACGAGAAAUGUGGAUAUAAAGACAAUUAGUCCUUUCUUACUUUGAAGUUAAUGAUCAAAACCCCAAAUCUAAUAGUCAGAGGAAAUUCAGCCCCCACAACGCACACACUUUUUCCCCUUUUCCAAGUUGGGUUGGUGAAGGAAGAAGGUUGGGUGUGUCUGUAGGGACUAUAAAGUGAUGUGAAUUAUUGAAGCUAUAAUGGGCUGUAGUGGAAUUCUUCUUUCUGCAACGGCAAAAUGUUUGAGGACAUAAAACUUCAUAGAUUGACUCUGUUUCUCUUUCUAUAAAGUCUUGUUUAUGUCUUUCCCACCACUAUUUUUUUCAGGUACUAUGGCAUGUCAGUACACAUCUACUAGCACAAGUUCAUCAGUUCUAAACACCACAAAUUCGAAGGGAUCAACCGUGUUUGGUGCUGUACCCUCAAGCCCAACUCCUUCAGCAGCAACCUGUCAAGAAAUAAAUGUUCUUCAACGACUAUUGUUGUUGACAAUUGUUUCUCUAAGAUUAUUCCACAUUAACUAUCUUUAUGGCUGAUUGGGACAGUAAAACCAACUUAAUUUCUUA